rnacentral:rRNA from 1 species
GACGAACGCUGGCGGCGUGCCUAACACAUGCAAGUCGAACGGAAAGGCCCUGCUUUUGUGGGGUGCUCGAGUGGCGAACGGGUGAGUAACACGUGAGUAACCUGCCCUUGACUUUGGGAUAACUUCAGGAAACUGGGGCUAAUACCGGAUAGGAGCUCCUGCUGCAUGGUGGGGGUUGGAAAGUUUCGGCGGUUGGGGAUGGACUCGCGGCUUAUCAGCUUGUUGGUGGGGUAGUGGCUUACCAAGGCUUUGACGGGUAGCCGGCCUGAGAGGGUGACCGGCCACAUUGGGACUGAGAUACGGCACAGACUCCUACGGGAGGCAGCAGUGGGGAAUAUUGCACAAUGGGCGGAAGCCUGAUGCAGCAACGCCGCGUGCGGGAUGACGGCCUUCGGGUUGUAAACCGCUUUCGCCUGUGACGAAGCGUGAGUGACGGUAAUGGGUAAAGAAGCACCGGCUAACUACGUG